GAUGAACGCUGGCGGCGUGCCUAAUACAUGCAAGUCGAGCGAACAGACGAGGAGCUUGCUCCUCUGACGUUAGCGGCGGACGGGUGAGUAACACGUGGAUAACCUACCUAUCAGACUGGGAUAACUUCGGGAAACCGGAGCUAAUACCGGAUAAUAUAUUGAACCGCAUGGUUCAAUAGUGAAAGACGGUUUUGCUGUCACUUAUAGAUGGAUCCGCGCCGCAUUAGCUAGUUGGUAAGGUAACGGCUUACCAAGGCAACGAUGCGUAGCCGACCUGAGCGGGGGAUCGGCCACAUGGGAGCUGAGACACGGUCCAGACUCCUACGGGAGGCAGCAGUAGGGAAUCUUCCGCAAUGGGCGAAAGCCUGACGGAGCAACGCCGCGUGAGUGAUGAAGGUCUUCGGAUCGUAAAACUCUGUUAUUAGGGAAGAACAAAUGUGUAAGUAACUAUGCACGUCUUGACGGUACCGAAUCAGAAAGCCACGGCUAACUACGUG
rnacentral:rRNA from 1 species